CGAUUUACAUCGAGAUUCCGAAGACAGGACAGAAAGUGACUGAGUGAAGAGUCUCUCUUCAACUGCGUGCAAUUCACCCCAAGCUCGGAAAGAACAGAUAACAUCUUUGAAGGACAUCAAAAGGAUAGAAGGCCAUUGAUGGGUGACACUAGAGGAAAGGGUGUGUGAGGACCUUCAAACCUGAACUUCAAUCAAUAGCACACACAUUCAUACCGACAAAAUGAAUGAGAGACAGGCUCUCCAUUCAAUUAUGAAGGAUCUGGUGGCCCUGCAGAUGACCAGGCGCCAGCCGGCGUCAAAUUACGACACGGCAAAACCUAAACCUGUCAAUACUGCCAGCUCUUCCAACAGAACGGUAAUACACAUGCAUACAUUAGAAACAGUGACCUUGUGACUCCUAGUCCUAUAUGAC